GUUCAAAGGAAGAAAGGUUGACAGUGGAUACCUAGGCACCCAGAGACGAGGAAGGGUGUAGUCAGUGACGAAAUGCUUUGGGGAGUUGCAAAUAAGCGUAGAUCCGGAGGUCAACCUUUCAAACUGCUGCUGAAUCUAUGGGCAGGCGAGAGACAACCUAGCGAACUGAAACAUCUUAGUAGCCAGAGGAAAAGAAAGCAAAAGCGAUUUGCGUAGUAGCGGCGAGCAAAAUGGGAGCAGUCUAAACCGUGAAAAUGGGGCUAUGGAAGAACAAUACAAUCGUCAUGCUGUUAGGUGAAGUGGUGGAGUGUUGCACCCUAGAUGGCGAGAGUCCAGUAGCCGAAAGCAUCAUUAGCUUACGCUCUAACCCAACUAACAUGGGGCACAUAAAAUCCCGUAUGAAUCAACAAGGACCAUCUUACAAGCCUCUAACGGGGCUCCUAGCUGACCGAUAGUAAAGUAGUAACGUGAGGGAAUGGUGAAAAGAACCUCCAUCGGAGAGUGAAAUAGAAGAUGAAAUCGUCAGCUUCCAAGCAGUAGGAGGAGACCAGGACUCUGACCAGGUGCCUGUUGAAGAUUGAGCCGGCAACUCAUAGGCAGUGGCUUGAUUAAGAGAACCCAUCGGAGCCGUAAUGAAAGUGAGUCUAAAUGGGGAAAUUCUCACUGCUUAUGGACCUAAACCUUUCUUCUCCAGGAUGAAGCUCGGGUGAAACUAAGUGGAGGUUCGAACCAACUGAUGUUGAAGAAUCAGCUGAUGAGUUGUGGUUAGGGGUGAAAUGCCAUUCGAACCCAGAGCUAGCUGGUUCUCUCUGAAAUGCGUUGAGGUGCAACAGUUGAUUGGAUAUCUAGAGGUAAAGCACCGUUUCGAUGCGAGCCGCGAGAGCGGUACCAAAUUGAGACAAACUCUAAAUACUCAUCUCAAAAUCAUAGGGGUCAAAUCGACCAGUGAGACGAUAGGGGAUAAGCUUCAUCGUUGAGAGGGAAAUAGUUAGGAUCACCAACUAAGGCCCCUAAAUGACUGCUCAGAGGUAAGGGUGCAAAGACAGCCAGGAGGUUUUCCUAGAAGAAGCCACCCUUGAAAGAGUGCGUAAUAGCUCACUAAUCGAGUGCUCUUGCACUGAAGAUGAACGAGGUUAAGUGAUCUAUCGAAGCUAUGGGUAGAGGAAAGCAUCUGCGCGAGCAGUGGUAGACAAAGUAGAAGCGAGAAUGUCGGCUUUUUUAAGGCAAACAUUGGUGAGAAUCCAAUGUCCCGAAAAUCACUCCAUUGGGUUCCUCCGCAAGGUUUGUCCACAGAGGGUGAGUCGGGGCCUAAGAUUAGGCAAUAAGGCGUAGUCAAUGGACAAAAGAUGAAUAUUCCAGUACUACCCCUUGUUGGUCCCAAGGGACGAAGGAGGCUAGGUUAGCUGAAAGAUGGUUAUCGGUUCAAGGAGGCAAGGUGCCCUUAUUUUUUAAGGUGUGAAGAGGUAGAGAAAAUACCUCGAGCCAAUGUUCGAGUACCAUGCGCUAUGACGCUAAAGUCACCAAUGCCAUACUCCCAAGAAAAGCUCGAACGACCUUCAACAAAAGGGUACCUGUACCCAAAACAAACAAAUGUGGGUAGGUAGAGAAUACUUAGGGCGCGAGACAACUCUCUCUAAGGAACUCAGCAAAAUGGCCCAGUAACUUCAGGAGAAGAGGUGCCUCCUCACAAAGGGGGUCGCAGUGAUCAGGCCCGAGAAACUAUUUACCAAAACAAUGAGUCUCCAUAAAGUCGUAAGACCAUGUAUGGGGGCUGACGCCUGCCAAGUGCUGAAAGGUCAAGGAAGUUGGUAGUGAUUCAACGAAAGUCGACCUUAGUGAUUCGACGGUGUUGAGUGAAAGGGUCGUCGCUUAACAGAUAAAAGUGACUCUAGGGAUAAGAGGUUGAUCUUCCCCAAGAGCUCACAUGGGAAGGUUGGGCACCUCGAUGUCGGUUAUUCGCCACCUGGGGAUGUAGUAUAUUCCAAGGGUUGGGUUGUUCGCCCAUGAAAGUGGUACAUAAGCUAGGUUUAGAACGUCAUGAGACAGUUCGAUCCAUAUCCGGUGUCAGCCUUAGAGCAUUGAGAGGACCUUUCUCUAGUACGAGAGGAACGGAAAGGACGCACCUCUGAUGUACCAGUUAUCGUGCCUACGGUAAAGGUUGGGUAGCCAAGUAUAGAGCGGAUAACUACUGAAAGCAUCUAAAUAGUAAGCCCACACCCAAGAUGAGUGCUCUCAUUUUCUGACUUCCCAGAGCCUCCAGUAGCACAUCCGAGACAGCGAUGGGUUCUCUGCCCCUGCGGGGACGGAGCGAUAGAAGUUUUGAGAAUGAAAGAAAAGGUCACGACGAGAUGAGUCGUUUAUCAUCACGAUAAGUGUCAAGUGGAAGUGCAGUGAUGUAUGCAGCUGAGGCAUCCUAGCAGGCCAGUAGACUUGAAACU
rfam:Cucumis melo, WGS project CAJI01000000 data, contig: 05319